rnacentral:rRNA from 1 species
CCUACGGGUGGCAGCAGUGAGGAAUAUUGGUCAAUGGGCGCGAGCCUGAACCAGCCAAGUAGCGUGAAGGAUGACUGCCCUACGGGUUGUAAACUUCUUUUAUAAAGGAAUAAAGUGAGGCACGUGUGCCUUUUUGCAUGUACUUUAUGCAUAAGGAUCGGCUAACUCCGUGCCAGCAGCCGCGGUAAUACGGAGGAUCCGAGCGUUAACCGGAUUUAUUGGGUGUAAAGGGAUCGUAGAUGGGUUGUUAAGUCAGUGGUGAAAGUUUGCGGCUCAACCGUGGAAUUGCAAUUGAUACUGGCAACCUUGAGUACAGGAGAGGUAGGCGGAAUUCGUGGUGUAGCAGUGAAAUGCGUAGAUAUCACGAAGAACACCAGUGGCGAAGGCGGCUUACUAGACUGCCACUGACGUUGAGGCUCGAAAGUGUGGGUAGCAAACAGGAUUAGAUACCCGAGUAGUC